GUGGGGAAUUUUGGACAAUGGGCGAAAGCCUGAUCCAGCCAUGCCGCGUGCAGGAUGAAGGCCUUCGGGUUGUAAACUGCUUUUGUACGGAACGAAAAGACUCCUUCUAAUAAAGGGGGUCCAUGACGGUACCGUAAGAAUAAGCACCGGGUAACUACGUGCCAGCAGCCGCGGUAAUACGUAGGGUGCAAGCGUUAAUCGGAAUUACUGGGCGUAAAGCGUGCGCAGGCGGUUAUAUAAGACAGAUGUGAAAUCCCCGGGCUCAACCUGGGAACUGCAUUUGGGACUGUAUAGCUAGAGUACGGUAGAGGGGGAUGGAAUUCCGCGUGUAGCAGUGAAAUGCGUAGAUAUGCGGAGGAACACCGAUGGCGAAGGCAAUCCCCUGGACCUGUACUGACGCUCAUGCACGAAAGCGUGGGGAGCAAACAGGAUUAGAAACCCUGGUAGUCC
rnacentral:rRNA from 1 species